rnacentral:rRNA from 1 species
UACGUAGGGUGCGAGCGUUAAUCGGAAUUACUGGGCGUAAAGCGUGCGCAGGCGGUUUUGUAAGCCAGAUGUGAAAGCCCCGGGCUUAACCUGGGAACUGCAUUUGGGACUGCAAGGCUGGAGUACGGCAGAGGGAGGUGGAAUUCCACGUGUAGCAGUGAAAUGCGUAGAGAUGUGGAGGAACACCAAUGGCGAAGGCAGCCCCCUGGGCCAACACUGACGCUCAUGCACGAAAGCGUGGGGAGCAAACAGG